rnacentral:rRNA from 1 species
CACGUAGGGGACGAGCGUUGUCCGGAUUCAUUGGGCGUAAAGCGCGCGUAGGCGGCUCGGAAAGUCGGUCGUGAAAUGCCGGGGCUCAACCCCGGGACUGCGUCCGAUACUCCCGAGCUGGAGGCAGGUAGGGGAGAUCGGAAUUCCUGGUGUAGCGGUGAAAUGCGCAGAUAUCAGGAGGAACACCGGUGGCGAAAGCAGCUCUCUGGGACGGUACUGACGCUGAGACGCGAAAGCGUGGGGAGCGAACAGG